UACGGUGAAUACGUUCCCGGACCUUGUACACACCGCCCGUCAAGCCAUGGAAGCCGGGUAUACCUAAAGUCGGUAACCGCAAGGAGCCGCCUAGGGUAAAACUGGUGACUGGGGCU
rnacentral:rRNA from 1 species